GCCCUCGUUGUCUAAUGGUUAUGACGUCAGACUUCUACGAAUGGCAGUGCCAAUCACGUGAUCUGGAGGUUCCCGGUUCGAACCCGGGCGGGGGCU
rnacentral:tRNA from 1 species